AUACGGAGGGUGCGAGCGUUAAUCGGAAUUACUGGGCGUAAAGCGCGCGUAGGCGGUCAAAUAAGUCUGAUGUGAAAGCCCUGGGCUUAACCUGGGAAUGGCAUUGGAUACUGUUUGACUAGAGUGCAGGAGAGGAGAGUGGAAUUCCCGGUAUAGCGGUGAAAUGCGUAGAUAUCGGGAGGAACACCAGUGGCGAAGGCGGCUCUCUGGACUGACACUGACGCUGAGGUGCGAAAGCGCGGGUAGCAAACAGGAUUAGAUACCCCGGUAGUCC
rnacentral:rRNA from 1 species